rnacentral:lncRNA from 1 species
AAAAUAAUUAGCAUUCUGUGUCUUGAUUAAGGAAUUUUCAUCAACUUCAGGGACACAGAAUAAUUCUCAUAGAAUUUCUUCUAGAAGUUUUAUAGUUUUAUUUUUUGUUUAGGUCCAUGAUCCAUCUUGAAUUAGUUUUUUUUGGUCUAUGGUGUUCAAUAACGGUCAAAAUUUUUUUAAGAUCAAAAACUGCAUUUUCUUUCUACAUUGAAUUAGCCUGGUACGCUUUAAAAAAAAAUCAAUAGACCAUAUAAAUGUGAGUGUAUUUCUGCUUCUCUAUUCUGUUUCAUUGAUCUGUUUAUUUAUUCUUACAGCACAUUGUUUUGGUUACUGUCACUUUAUUUAUUUAUUUAUCUUUUAGUUUUAGAUGGACACAAUAUCUUUAUUUUUAUGUGGGGCUGAGAAUCGAACCCAGUGCCUCAUGCAUGUUAGGCGAUCGCACUACCACUUGAGCCACAUUCCCAGCCCGUACUGUCACUUUAUAAUGAGUCUUAAAAUGAGAUAAUGUAACUCCCUCACCUUUUUACUACUAUAUCAAGAAUUUCCCAACAGUUCAUUGAUGUAUAGAAAUACAGUUGAAUUUUGUAUAUUUCCUUUGUAUCUUAAAAAAAAAAUGAUGCCUUUUAUUCUUUUUCUUUUUUGAUACUGGGUAUUGACCUAGGGGCAUUUAACCACUGAGCCACAUCCCUGGCCCUUUUCAUUUUUUUAUUUUGAAAC